rnacentral:rRNA from 1 species
AUUGAACGCUGGCGGCAGGCCUAACACAUGCAAGUCGAGCGGCGCGGCGGUCGGGUGAGUAAUGCCUAGGAAUCUGCCUGGUCGUGGGGGAUACCGUCAGGCAACGGGCGCUAAUACCGCAUCCUCUCAGAUGCGCCUAGGUCGGAUUAGCUAGUUGGUGGGGUAAAGGCAUACCAAGGCGACGAUCCGUAACUGGUCUGAGAGGAUGAUCAGUCACACUGGAACUGAGACACGGUCCAGAAUCCUACGGGAGGCAGCAGUGGGGAAUAUUGGACAAUGGGCGAAAGCCUGAUCCAGCCAUGCCGCGUGUGUGAAGAAGGUCUUCGGGUUGUAAAGCACUUUAAGUUGGGAGGCGUUACCAGCAGAAUAAGCACCGGCUAACUCCGUGCCAGCAGCCGCGGUAAUUC